UACGGAGGAGGCAAGCGUUAUCCGGAAUUAUUGGGCGUAAAGCGUCCGUAGGUGGUUUAGUAAGUCUGCUGUUAAAGCGCGGGGCUUAACUCCGUAUCGGCAGUGGAAACUACUAGACUAGAGUGUGGUAGGGGUAGAGGGAAUUCCCAGUGUAGCGGUGAAAUGCGUAGAUAUCAAGAGGAACACCUGAGGUGAAGACGGGUUGCUGGGCCGACACUGACGCUGAGUGCGCGAAAGCCAGGGGAGCAAACGGG
rnacentral:rRNA from 1 species